rnacentral:rRNA from 1 species
CGCGUAGGCGGCUUUGUAAGUCGGAUGUGAAAGCCCCGGGCUUAACCUGGGAAUUGCGUUCGAUACUGCAGAGCUAGAGUAUGGGAGAGGGAAGUGGAAUUUCCGGUGUAGCGGUGAAAUGCGUAGAUAUCGGAAGGAACACCAGUGGCGAAGGCGACUUCCUGGCCCAAUACUGACGCUGAGGUGCGAAAGCGUGGGGAGCAAACA